UACGUAGGGUGCAAGCGUUGUCCGGAAUUAUUGGGCGUAAAGAGCUCGUAGGCGGUUUGUCGCGUCGGCUGUGAAAACUCGGGGCUCAACCCCGAGCCUGCAGUCGAUACGGGCAGACUAGAGUGCGGUAGGGGAGACUGGAAUUCCUGGUGUAGCGGUGAAAUGCGCAGAUAUCAGGAGGAACACCGGUGGCGAAGGCGGGUCUCUGGGCCGUAACUGACGCUGAGAAGCGAAAGCAUGGGGAGCGAACAGG
rnacentral:rRNA from 1 species